AUUGAACGCUGGCGGCAUGCCUUACACAUGCAAGUCGAACGGCAGCACGGGGCAACCUGGUGGCGAGUGGCGAACGGGUGGGUAAUGCAUCGGAACGUACCCGGAAGUGGGGGAUAACGUAGCGAAAGUUACGCUAAUAACGCAUAUUCUGUGCGCAGGAAAGAGGGGGAUCUUCGGACCUCUUGCUUUCGGAGCGGCCGAUGUCAGAUUAGCUAGUUGGUGAGGUAAAGGCUAACCAAGGCGACGAUCUGUAGCGGGUCUGAGAGGAUGAUCAGCCACACUGGGACUGAGACACGGCCCAGACUCCUACGGGAGGCAGCAGUGGGGAAUUUUGGACAAUGGGCGCAAGCCUGAUCCAGCCAUGCCGCGUGAGUGAAGAAGGCCUUCGGGUUGUAAAGCUCUUUCGGCCGGGAAGAAAUCGCGUGAGUUAAUACCUUGCGUGGAUGACGGUACCGGAAUAAGAAGCACCGGCUAACUACGUGCCAGCCGCCGCGGUAACAC
rnacentral:rRNA from 1 species